CUACGUGCCAGCAGCCGCGGUAAUACGGAAGGUCCGGGCGUUAUCCGGAUUUAUUGGGUUUAAAGGGAGCGUAGGCUGGAGAUUAAGUGUGUUGUGAAAUGUAGACGCUCAACGUCUGACUUGCAGCGCAUACUGGUUUCCUUGAGUACGCACAACGUUGGCGGAAUUCGUCGUGUAGCGGUGAAAUGCUUAGAUAUGACGAAGAACUCCGAUUGCGAAGGCAGCUGACGGGAGCGCAACUGACGCUUAAGCUCGAAGGUGCGGGUAUCAAACAGGAUUAGAUACCCUGGUAGUCCGCACAGUAAACGAUGGAUGCCCGCUGUUAGCGCCUGGCGUUAGCGGCUAAGCGAAAGCAUUAAGCAUCCCACCUGGGGAGUACGCCGGCAACGGUGAAACUCAAAGGAAUUGACGGGGGCCCGCACAAGCGGAGGAACAUGUGGUUUAAUUCGAUGAUACGCGAGGAACCUUACCCGGGCUUGAA
rnacentral:rRNA from 1 species